GAAGCCUUCUCUCUGCCCUUCUGAUUUCAAACCAAGUUGCCUAUGCCAUUUUUUACUGUUUUUGCUAAGGGAUGCAUUGUUACAAAAUCAAUUUUUCAAAAUCGGAAGCUGUGCCUAUGGGGGAUUUAAGGAGAACACCAGACAUUGAAGAUCAGAGAUUUUAUCCGAAAAGCGACUACACUUCUGAGAGUGUGUUCUAGGUCUGAUAUGGAAAUGCGGG